rnacentral:rRNA from 1 species
CAUGAAGCUGGAAUCGCUAGUAAUCGCAGAUCAGAAUGCUGCGGUGAAUACGUUCCCGGGUCUUGUACACACCGCCCGUCACACCAUGGAGUUGGGAAUGCCCGAAGUCAGUGACCCAACCGCAAGGAGGGAGCUGCCGAAGGCAGGCUUGAUAACUGGGGUGAAGUCGUAACAAGGUAAC